rnacentral:lncRNA from 1 species
GGCGGGCGGGUGCGGUGCGGCUGGUGUGUGCGGGUGGGUGCGGGCGGGUGCGUUGGGUGGGUGAGUCUUGGGUGAGUCAAAUACGGACUCUUUGCCGUGUGCCCGCGAUCUGGCACACGGCAAAGAGUUUUUUAUUUUUUUUAAUUACUUUGCCGUGCGCUGGCAGGGAUAGCACACGGCAAAUAGCUCUUUUAUUUUUUUAGAAUUUGUUUAUUUUUUGUUUUUAAUUCCUUUGCCACCGUUUUUUUUGCAGAAAUUUCGCCGUGUGGCUGUAAUGGCAAGCACACGGCAAAGAAUAUUUUUUAAUUUUUUUUGACUCGGUUUGCCGUGUGCCUGCUAGGGGCACACGACAAAGAUUUCUUUUUUUUUGUUUAUUUUUCCAUUCAGGCCUUGUUUAGUUCACAAAAAAUUUCAAGAUUCUCUGUCACAUCGAAUCUUUGGUCGCAUGCAUGAAGUACCAAAUAUAAACGAAAAUAAAAACUAAUUACACAGUUUACUUGUAAUUUGCGAGACGAAUCUUUUGAACCUAGUUAGUGUGUGAUUGGACAAUAAUUAUCAAAUACAACAUGAGAGAAGAAGAAAAUGAAUGAUUUGCUGAGAUCGUACAGGGACUUCGCUGGCAGCAGUUUCUAUUCAAACCGUCAUUUCAUGUAACUCAAGCUUCACUUGUAGCCUGCAGACAAGAGAGGAAGACAAGAAGACAUCAUCAUUUCAUGUAACUCAAACUUCACUGGUAGCCUGCAGACAAGAGAGGAAGACAAGAAAACAUCAUCAUUUCAUGUAGUAGAGCUAUUUGAACUGUCAUUUGAUGUAGCUCAAACUUCAUUAGAUGCCGGCACACAAGAGAGGAAGACAAGAAAACAUCGUCAUUUCAUGUAGUAGAGCUAUGUAAACCGUCAUUUCAUGUAACUCAAACUUCACUUGUAGCCUGCAGACAAGAAGACAUCGUCAUUUCAUGUAACUCAAACUUCACUGGUAGACUGCAGACAAGAGAGAAAGACAAAAAAACAUCGUCAUUUCAUAUAGUAGAGCUAUUUGAACCUUCAUUUCAUGUAACUCAAACUUCACUGCUAGUCUGCAGACAAAAGAGAAAGACAAGAAAACAUCGUCAUUUCAUGUAGUGGAGCUAUUUGAUCUGUCAUUUCCUGUAGCUCAAACUUCACUAGAUGCCGACACACAAGAGAGGAAGACAAUAAAACAUCGUCAUUUCAUGUAGUAGAGCUAUGUAAACCGUCAUUUCAUGUAACUCAAACUUCACUUGUAGCCUACAGACAAGAGAGGAAGACAAGAAGACAUCGUCAUUUCAUGUAACUCAAACUUCACUGGAAGCCUGUAAACA